AUUGAACGCUGGCGGCAUGCUUUACACAUGCAAGUCGAACGGCAGCGGACCUUCGGGUGCCGGCGAGUGGCGAACGGGUGAGUAAUGCAUCGGAACGUACCUUUCAGUGGGGGAUAACGUAGCGAAAGUUACGCUAAUACCGCAUAUUCUGUGAGCAGGAAAGCAGGGGAUCGCAAGACCUUGCGCUGAUUGAGCGGCCGAUGUCAGAUUAGCUAGUUGGUGAGGUAAAGGCUCACCAAGGCGACGAUCUGUAGGGGGUCUGAGAGGAUGAUCCGCCACACUGGAACUGAGAGACGGUCCAGACUCCUACGGGAGGCAGCAGUGGGGAAUUUUGGACAAUGGGGGCAAUCCUGAUCCAGCCAUGCCGCGUGAGUGAAGAAGGCCUUCGGGUUGCAAAGCUCUUUCGGCCGGGAAGAAAUCGCACGGGCUAAUACCCUGUGUGGAUGACGGUACCGGAAUAAGAAGCACCGGCUAACUACGUGCCAGCCGCCGCCGCGGUAA
rnacentral:rRNA from 1 species